CCCCCCCCCCCUUGACUCACCUACGAGUCAAGCAUCGCCUUUGUUUUCCACCUUGCGUCUAUUGAAGCACUCCUUUUCUGUCGCCUCUCUGUACCUUCGACCUUUCCCUUAACCACAUCCAAAUUCACCUCACCAACUUCCUUGAUUUCAUCCCCUUUCUUAACCUCAACCGGGUACAAAUGCUGACAAGGCCUGCUUAAGAGUUGCCUUCGACCAUUUGUCAUCACAUACACCUUAGCACCACGUACAACUUUAUCCUUCCAAUAAAUCAACUCAUGCACAACACCUGUCUUCCACUCCCCCCCUUUUCUUUCCCUGCGCAAACACAAUGACCACAUCUCCAGGCUUCACAAUCACAGAUCCUUUCGCAGACACGCCAACCUUGUGGAACUCUCUUAGGUUUGUAAGAUAUUCCCGUUUCCACCUGUUCCAGAAGUGCUCCAAAAUGGUACUCAAAUAUUUGAAGCGUACAAUGCUAUUGCCCUUGGUAGAAUCCUGUCCUAACUCCCUAACAUCUACCUCAGUACUAUCUGGUAAUGUAGUAAUUUGUCUACCGUAAACUAAAUGUGAAGGUGUAAGCACCUCACUGCUUACCUCGUCAUAUUCGUAUGUCAGCGGUCUCGAGUUAGAUUAGCUUCGACUUCAACCUGAACUGUCCUCAAUUCAUCAAACGUGAGCCUUGAAUUUCCUAAAACUUUCCUUAAAGAAACUUUAACAAGACCUAUCAGUCUUUCAAAAACCCUCCCCACCAUGGGGCCCUUUCCAAAUUAAAUCUCCAAUCUACUCCCUUAUUGGUUAAACAAUUCUUAACUUCUUCGCUUCCAAAUAACUCGCGCAGUGCUUUCUUUGCAGCUUGAAAGGUUUUAGCAUUGUCCGAAAUCAUUAUUUUUGGUGUCCCUCUUCUCCCUACAAACCUUCUAAAACAACGUAGAAAU